GGACCCCGUCACCCCUCCCUGAAAGCUGGGGGGUGGUGGUGGGGGGGCCAUGCCUGCAGGUCUGGGCUAUGUCAGCGCUCCUUCCAGCUGAUGGGGUGGAGCUCUCCCUCCAGGGUUUAUUGUGUCACUACAGGAAGCAAUGGAACAAACUACAUGGGUUUAUAAGCCUGUGCAUGAAUAACGCAAAACAGGUUUUGGUUUAUUUUCCCUCGGUGGGGAACAAGAAAAAUACUCCACGCAGUGGCGAUGUUCUUCAUGUUAGCAGGCAACUGUUUUUACAGUUUGCCAAAAUUUCCGUCCUUGUUAUUGUUCAAAGAGAGGUGAAGAACGCAGGCACCAAACUGUAACACGACCAGAGAAAGUCUGCUCCCCAAGGUGGUCCUGAAGGUGCGUGAGCAGGGUGAGGUGGUGGUCAGAUCUGGGGGAUUCGGCGCACACACAGAGACGUGGUAUGCGGGGACCCACUGGCGAGUUAUUUUAGGGGAAAGCGCGUCUGGAAAUUCACUCAGCGCUGUCUGCCUCCGUUGCUUUUCAUCACCGCCGGCCGCUGUACAGGUCACCACAACACAAUGUGAAGUCGCACAGCGGACGGGAAAGAGACAGUUUCGUCUCCAACCGUGCAGGAUUGGCCAAAACCACAGCCUGCUGCAGACGAGAGGGGGGGGAAAUGUUGGCGUGACAACCAGGCAGAAGGGUUUUUUUCCCGCUUGUUAUCGUUGUCCCCUUGCUCUGUGUUUGAGCGCUGACAUUUGUACAGGACAUGACGUGAUCAGAUUAGCUGCGUCAGCCUGCACACGCUUGCAUUGUAUACCCACAUUCUUAUUCUUGCACUGUUUGAUAAUGCUAUCUGCAACUUGCAUAUCCCUACUUCAGAUUGCACCUUUUAAAGUGUUUAUUGGCCAACGUAUUAAACUCUGUUCACUUGAGUAAAAGGAUAAAGAGGAAUUGCAGUCAUGGGCUGCGCUGCUGGAAGUUUUCUUUGGUUUUUUCUUGGUUUUGCUCUUCGUGUUUUUUCUUUUCUGGGCGUUCCUCUCACCAAGCAGCUUUUCCAAAAUCUUUGUGUUAAUCCUGUCUGAUGAAGUAAUACAAUUUAACAAUGGAGUAUCUGACUUUGUGUAACUUUUCCAGCUUAUAAAAAGUUACCCUCAAACUAAGUACAUUGCCAGAGCAAUUAGCUCUCAGACGCUAACAAACAGGGCUCUGCCAUGAUCAAGAUAGGAGAGGAGGGUCACGCAGUGUUAAUGCCAAAUCUUUCUUCCUCGUGCAUCAUGACGCAUGUGGUGUCAAGUUCUCAUAUGUUCAAGAUGUCUUUUUCUGCAUGAUCUGGGUCAGACCUCUGAACCUUACCAUGGUGAAGGAGCUCCGAACCAGCUGAACAGACUCUGUUGUACUCUUAACUUUGUUCAAUUAAAUAUGACUUGUAGACAAACUUGUUAUAUUUGCAUGAUUUAUUUGUUCAUUUCUCGAGGAAUUUACGAUUUCCACUACCAUGCAUGACGCCUGUUGGCCAAAGAGCUACGCCGGAAGAAGGCUGACUGGCACACACAUUGUCACAC
rnacentral:lncRNA from 1 species